UACGUAGGGGGCUAGCGUUGUCCGGAAUCAUAGGGCGUAAAGCGCGUGUAGGCGGUUCGGUAAGUCCGCUUGUGAAAGUCGGGGGCUCAACCCUCGGAAGCCGGUGGAUACUGUCGAGCUAGAGUACGGAAGAGGCGAGGUGGAAUUCCUGGUGUAGCGGUGAAAUGCGCAGAUAUCAGGAGGAACACCGGUGGCGAAGGCGGAUCUCUGGGCCUUACCUGACGCUCAGGCGCGAAAGCUAGGGGAGCGAACGG
rnacentral:rRNA from 1 species